UACGGAAGGUGCAAGCGUUGUUCGGAAUUAUUGGGCGUAAAGAGUACGUAGGCGGAUUUGUAUGUCGAUUGUGAAAUCCCAGGGCUUAACCUUGGAAUUGCAGUCGAAACUGCGGAUCUUUGAAUACCUGAGAGGGUGGGAGAAUUCCUGGUGGAGAAGUGAAAUUCGUAGAGAUCAGGAGGAAUACCGGAGGCGAAGGCGCCUGCCUGGCAGUGUAUUGACGCUGAGGUACGAAAGCGUGGGGAGCAAACAGG
rnacentral:rRNA from 1 species